rnacentral:rRNA from 1 species
GGUUCAGAACGAACGCUGGUAGCGUGUCUUAUACAUGCAAGUCGAGCGAGGCAGCAAUGCCGAGCGGCGAACGGGUGAGUAACGCGUAAGCAAUCUGCCCCAUAUCAGGAAAUACCCGUGCCAACGCGCGGUUAAUGUCCAGGAGAGUGGCCUUCCGCAUGGAGGGUUGACUAGAGAUUUAUCGGUAUGGGAUGAGCUUGCGUCCGAUUAGCUAGUUGGCGGGCAACGGCCCACCAAGGCGACGAUCGGUAGCCGGCCUGAGAGGGUGAUCGGCCACAUUGGGACUGAGAUACGGCCCAGACUCCUACGGGAGGCAGCAGUAGGGAAUAUUGCACAAUGGGGGAAACCCUGAUGCAGCAACGCCAACCGUGUGGGAAGAAGCAUUUCGGUGUGUAAACCACUGUCAUGAGGGAAUAAGGCCCGCCUUCGGACGGGAUUGAAUGUACCUUGAGAGGAAGCACCGGCAAACUUCGUGCCAGCCGCCGC